CGGUACCACUGUCAGUUCAGCAGUGGGAACAGAACCCCAUGGGAGCCCCGUGGUGCCUUCCCAGGGACUGUCUGGGGCCUUGGCAGAGGGUGUAGCAACGGGAAUGCUUUCCACUGCAAGGAACAGGGAAUUUAAUGCAGCGGCUUAAACAAUAGAGGUUUAUUCUUCUCUCUUAGGAGGAAGUCUGAAGGUAGGAGAUGUAGAGGGAAGAGUGCUCCGAGUUCAGAAUCCGGCCACCCUGUUUCCCAUCCCAGUUGUGCCAUGAGUCUGAUUGGGGCCAGGUCAUUUCACCUCUCCCAAUUCCCGAUGCUUAAUCGGUAAAAUGGGCUUUUGUCAAGACUGAGCCAACGUGGGGUGUGAAAUUUCCAGUCACCGAGCGGGCCCUCAGCACACAGCACCUGCCUCCUUCCUUCCAUCCACUCAGCUCUGUGAAGUCUGUGGACGUGGAGGCCAGAGGCCUCAGGGAAUUUGUAAACGAGAAAGCACGAUACUUCAUUCAGCCAUUGAGCCAGUCUUUAUGGACACCUGCUGUCUGCCAGGGACGUUGUAGCAAUGGGGAUACAGAAGCGAGAGCCUCAGAUUCAGUCCUGCUCUCAGGAGCCCAUGUCCUGUGUGGGAGACAGACGGGAGACGGACAAAUCAACUUAAAACACGACGUCAGAGAGUCAAGAGCCGCGAAGAAACCCCAGGGAGGGGAUGAAGGGUCUGUUUCCCAGGCGCCCAGGGAAGGCCUCUUGGAGGGCAGGUGCUUGAACCUGGGCUAGAAUGAUAAGGAGACCCCACUGGGGGCACAGCAGACACAAAGAUGCCCAAGUUGGCCUCACGUGACCCAUGGUGGGAAAUGUCUGCAUAAGUGAAUGAACCUGUUACAGCAUCUCCCGGCCGAGAGCAGUCUUCUUGCCCCAAGGUGGAAUGAAAAAAUGCCCCAUUGAAGAAAAUAGGCCAAUUUGAGAAUUUCUGUCACUCACAGAGCUUCAUCUUGCUGCCAAUUCUCAGAGAACCGUUUCUGCCAAGGAGGUGACAUCUGGGGAAAUGUGUUCACCCCCCAAAUCUCCAGACCUGGCUUGCUGGCUUCUACCUCCCCCCCUCAGCCCCACUGGGUGCCAGACCUCGGGCUCCGGCUGCCCAUCCACUUACUCACUUAAUCCCCCCCAACCCCUGUGAGUUGGGGGCUAUUAUCUCACCUCCAAAGCCGACCCUGAGCUCUAGGAGGUGAAGUGGCUUGCCCAGGAUCACUCAGGGGGCCCCGGAUGUCUGAGGCCACAGCCCAGUGAGGCUGGCACCGCCUGUGGCAGGUGCAUGCAGCAGUGUGGACUGAGACGGCCCCCCACCCCCACCCCGCCC
rnacentral:lncRNA from 1 species